rnacentral:tRNA from 1 species
GGAGACGUGGCUGAGUGGUCGAAAGCGCUUCACUGCUAACGAAGUAGGGUUAACACCCUCGUGGGUUCGAAUCCCACCGUCUCCGCAA